rnacentral:rRNA from 1 species
UACAGAGGGUGCGAGCGUUAAUCGGAAUUACUGGGCGUAAAGGGUGCGUAGGCGGUUCGCUAAGUUGGAUGUGAAAACUCUGGGCUUAACCCAGAGCCUGCAUCCAAUACUGACGAGCUAGAGUUCUGGAGGGGGUAGUGGAAUUCCUGGUGUAGCGGUGAAAUGCGUAGAUAUCAGGAGGAACACCGGUGGCGAAGGCGGCUACCUGGACAGAGUCUGACGCUGAGGCACGAAAGCUAGGGGAGCAAACAGG